UUUUCCGGCAAUCUUUAACUUCGGAGACUCAAACUCCGACACUGGUGGCUUGUCUGCAGUUUUUGGUCAGGCACCUCCUCCUCAUGGCGAGUCUUUUUUCCACCACCCCGCCGGACGCUACUGUGAUGGCCGCCUCAUUGUCGACUUCUUUGCGGAGAAGCUUGGAUUGCCAUAUCUAAGUGCAUAUCUUGACUCAGUAGGCAGCAACUUCAGACAUGGAGCCAAUUUUGCAACUGCAGGAUCCACCAUUAGACCUCAAAACACUACUCUUCGCCAAAGCGGUUUUAGUCCCAUUUCUUUGGAUGUUCAAUGGAAUGAGUUCUAUGAUUUUCACCGAAGAUCCCAAAUCUUUCGUAGCAAAGGUAAAUUAAUUACCAAGGCUUUUGUUUGAUAAUUUGUGCAUAAAAUAUUGAUCUGGGUUUUCAUGAUUUGGUGUACGUAGGUGGAAUUUAUAAAGAAUUGUUGCCUAAGGCUUCAGAUUUCUCUCGUGCUUUGUACACAUUCGAUAUUGGUCAGAACGAUCUUACUUCUGGCUACUUCUUAAACAUGUCUGCGAAUGAAGUUAGAGCUUAUGUUCCUGAUGUGCUCAACCAAUUCAAGAACAUUGUUUCGUACGUAUAUGGUCAAGGAGGAAGAAACUUUUGGAUUCAUAAUACAGGACCAUUUGGUUGUCUACCUUAUGUUAUAGAUCGCAUACCAAUCUCAAAAGCAGAGUUUGACAAGGUUGGCUGUGGGACUCCAUUUAAUGAGGUAGCUCAAUAUUUCAAUCGUGGAUUGAAGGAGGUUGUCGCCCAAUUGAGAAAAGAAUUGCCCCAUGCUGCAAUAACAUAUGUUGAUGUAUACACAGUAAAAUACAACCUUAUCAGCCGAGCAAGAACGCACGGGUUCAACGAAUCAUUGAGAGCUUGCUGUGGACAUGGAGGAAAGUAUAACUACAACAAGAACAUUGGAUGUGGGCGAAAGAUUACAGUGCGAGGAAAACAAAUAAUGAUUGGGAAACCAUGCAAAGAUCCUUCAAGAUGGAUAAAUUGGGAUGGGGUACAUUACACUCAGGCAGCUAACGAAUGGGUUUUUGAACAGAUCGUAGAUGGUUCAUUUUCAGACCCACCAAUUCCAUUGAAGAUGGCUUGCCAUAGGCAUCCUUUAAGUUGAUUAAUUUACCUGUCACUUUUCAGCACGAUUGUUAUCAAAGCUGGAAUAUAGCCAAAUAUGAUGGCAUUCUAAAAGUUAAUUUAUGAAAUUUGAAGUUCUUAACUAUCUAUAUUAGACUUUAGGCUAUGUUUGUAUUGAAGGAAAAUAAAAAUGAAGGAAA
rnacentral:misc_RNA from 1 species